UAUCCUGCAACAAGUGACUUUUUUUCCUACGACACUGUACCUUUCCCGGAUAUCUUUGACAACGUCUUACCGGAUACACCGCAUGCGCGACAAUUACCCAAUGAUCUGCGCCGCAUCCUCAACUGGGCUUCUCCAACCAUCUCUGUCAAACAACUUCAGCAACAAAUUAUUUUCAUCUAGCACACAUGUACAAAAUUUUGAGAAAUGAGCCCAUGACACUGCUUCCUGGUCGAGUGAAUGGAAGUACUUCAGUCGAUGAUUUUUCGUGAGGUCACUUAGCUGAUACAAUUAAUAAGUAUACUGAGCAUGCUGAUAAAUUUCACCGAUUAAUGCUGUUUAAGUAUGGCAAUGUAUUAACCGGAUAUGAAAUGAAAUUCAUCGACGUAGUACCACAGCUACUGGAAAGGUAUCCUUUUCACUCUGUCAUGAGACUUUCGACAGAACAAGGAGAGCGAACACACUAUAUGGACAUGUGUCGAUUUUAUCAACAUUCGACACGCGGUGGUGGAUCGACCAAACAGGAUCCAAUUUCCAAAUUUUUUGAAUGGCAAUGGCGUAUGGUCCACCAUCGUAUUCGAGAAUGUCCAGUGGAAGUGCGGAAUCGUUUUGAACAGUUCAUCGCAACCAAAAUGCGUCCGCCAGUUGAAGAACCGAAUAAUGAUGGAGAUGCGAGACUAGUGUGUGAGAACACCAUACCAAAGGCCCUGGAAGGAAGAAGCAUCGUCAUAGUAGGAAGACUAGGAUAAUAUACCUUUGCCGCAAUUUCAAGUAAUAACAACGCAAGCUGAAUGUGAUAAGGAUCCUCCUAAAGUUGCCACGGUAUUAGCUGAGUGCUUUAGAAGAGGUGUUGAAAUACUAAGUGAUGCACUACUUAGAAGUCUGGAAAAUGGUACAUUUACAUCGCUAGAGAACUACAAGCUAGAUCUAAAUAGUCUGAAAAAUGCUCCAUACACAACAAUCCAGUCUGAGCACCUGAUAACAGUAUUAACAACUACAACAGCAAAGGUCCGAGUGCAUACUGUAUGCUAAAACGAAAAGAACGACAAGACAGACAGCCUUUGCAACUGAUUUGUCAAAAUGCACAAACGAAAAGGAAACACCGAAAAUCAAACCAGGUUAAACGUAAAAGACUGCCAGGACAUAAUUUAUUCACCCGUUCUAGCAUGGCUCAGAUAAUGCAUGACCAGCCAGAACUACAGUUCGGAGAAAGAACCGCAAUCAUUAACCAAUUAAGGAGGGAAUGUACCAAUGUUGAACGACGAGAGUGGAAUGAACGUGCCCAAAACGAUCUGUGACAACAAUGCUUUUACUCUAGAUACUAUUAGAACUUCGACAACGAAGUAAAUAUGUCUCCAGUGUCUCAGUUCCAGAUAGGCCAAGAAGUAGAAGUCUUAGAUGAUGAGACUGGUGUCCGGAGAGCUGCCACAAUCACUGGAAUAAACAUUUCUACAAAUGGUAAUCGUUACGGUGUACAUUAUCGAGGAUGGCAGCCAAAACACGAUACUUUUAAAUUUCAAGAUUGCAUUCGAAACGCUACACCAGUGGAGAAUUGGGAAAGCGACAACCAAAGAGGAAGAGUCCGAGUGAGCUCCCUAGUUCUUAUAAGCGACUUCACACAAUUAAGCCUGAACAUCUGACGGAAGGUGAUGUUGUUUAUUUCAUGAUAGAUCCAGAACAAUAUCAAGGUAAUAUUAUUGUUAACGACCCGUUUCUGAAAACAUUGAAUGUGUCAUAUGACACUAGUGGAGGCUCCGGAGAUGUUAAUAUUGUUGAUGUAACUAUCGGAUAUAGUGACAUUGUCGAUUUCAAAGAACAGGAUAGGGCUAACCCCGAACAACCGAAAGCCAAAUUAAGCACUGCACGGAAACCAAAAAGAUGUAAUCGUGUUGGUAAAACAAACCAUAUCUGGACAGACAACACACGUUCGACAGAUGGUGCAAAUAUCCCAAAUAAUAAUCAUGAAGAGGAAAUUACACACUGUAUUUUUAAGGACGAAAUAAUUUCAAUCGGCUCGUUCCUUGCAACCACAGAUAAUGAUAUAUACCACUUUGUAACCUCUAUGGUAAUAGGAAGUAACGGAUCUAUUAAGGCGUCAGGAUACAAAGUAAGAAAACUGGGCACAGACAACUUAUUGAUGAGGCUCAUUCAGCAAUGGUCUUGAUAACCCAAAGAUAAUUAAACCUAAACUAAAUGCUAAAUAGAUUGAACGCUGGCGCAGUACGCAACGAGCAGCAGAAGAACGCGUGAACACGCUUUCGUCAAUAAAAACGUCAACGUAUGAACAACGGAAAGCUUCAUUAAGGACGUUGAUACGGCAGGAAGUUCAACGGAGCUUGUCAUCCAAGAAGCGUCAAGCACGAUUCCACGUCUUGUACGAGCAAGGCAUUGAUGCCAAAUUAUUUGGCCUAAAUGCUGGCAACAUGUUCCACGAAGAAUAUUCACCGGAAAGCUUUCAUCAACUAGACUCCCUCCUCGGCAGUGGUUGGGACUACUGUAUGAAAAAGACAGUGAUAGGUAUUCGUUUGUAUCGCGUUUCGAUAUAAAGCUCAUUAAAGAGGAAAGAUGUAUGGAAAUUGUUGCCCACUUAUGCAAUAUUUCCACACAAGGCUGGAGUGAAGACUAUCGUUCUCACGUGUUACAAGAAGUCGUAAAUGCAAAUCAACCUAUUUAAAAUCAUGACAACUUUAACUGUAAAUAUUGUAUUGUAAUGUAUUGUUAUAUAUUUUAUCGGCAAUGUUUUAUUUAGUAUGUAAUUGUUUUUUUUCUUGAAAGUAUCCAAUUUAUUAUGCCGUGGCUGGGAUACAAUACCAUACCUUAAGUUUUAUUUAUUGAAAGUAGGCUGAUGUAAUUUACCUCCAAAUAAGGACAUUGGCAUUGGUCUACGAUCAUUUCAUCAGCCUAUCGUUUUAUUCAGAAAUAGCACCUGCAGUAUACAGACUUUUAAAACUAUGAUUUUCUUAUUUUAUUUUUAAUAACCUUCAAAUAAUGAAAUGUUUCAAACAACACUAAAUUCGAUUGAUAUACUUGUGAAAAAAAAUAUUUUUAGUUAACAUGUUUGUUAAUAUGUACUUCACUAAACCUAUUAAAAAUAAUAUUUAAGAUUUAUAGUUAAGGAUAAAAAAAAACACGAAUUAGACUUGAGUGUAACAAAAGAA